rnacentral:lncRNA from 1 species
GGAUAGAAUGACCCAGAAGAUCAUGGGGCAUCUAAGCUUCUAGGAGGAUGUGAAGUUGUCCAUCUUCAGCAGUCUGGUUGAAGCUGGAGGAUAGAAUGACCCAGAAUAUCGUGGGGUGUCUAAGCUUCAAGGAGGAUGUGAAGUUGCACGUCUUGCAACUUGUGACUUGCACCUGGUGGGCAGCUGUUGCUAGGCAAUGGCUCGACGAGCAUACCGGUUCCCACUUAUUUAAUUACUACAGGGCUCCCGAUGGAGUACCUGCUUAGCAGGUCCCAUUCUUGAUCCUCAGCACUGCGAAGAAAACACAGAAGAGAAAUAAAGGCUGCUGCGUAGUUUUGGAUCAGACAGAAAACAAAGGAAGGAACACCAGGAUGCAAUGAUGAUUUAAUUUGCAACAGAAUCGCCCGUUUUCCCUUUGAUUCCCACUUGGAUGUAACACUGGUACUGCAAAGCAUCCCUGAGGCCUUUCUCGCUGUGCCAAGAUGCACAUCUUCUGACAGAGCCAUGGCCUGAGGCUGCAAAGAUGGUGCUGGGGCCACGUGAAAACUGUCAGCCUGAGGGAGGAGCAGAUAGCUCCAGGCCCAAGACUGGGCUUGUUUGCUUUCCUCGUGGAUAGCGGGAUGCUAAGUAUGUAGUUAACGGUCCCUUCACCUCCACUCCCAGCAGUGGUCUGGAGAAGGAGCAAGACUCAAAUUAUGCUACUCUGGACCAGACUUUCUCCAAGGCAGGGCCUGUGCCUUGGUGUUCCUGGGGGUCUUGCUCGAUGCCUGACUGUGACUGCAUGUCAAGGAGUCAAUGUUUAAAAGACAGCAAGAUGUGAGCUGCUUAUGUACAUAGGAGGAAGAAGGGCUCCUGACUUUCUGUCUCCGACUGUUUUUGUGAAAAUAUUAUGAGAAGAGUGUUUCAGCUCCCAGGUUUGGAACCCACAGGCCAAACUUUCUUUAUUUUCUCUUUCUUUCUUUCCUUCUUUCUUUCCUUCCUUCUUUCUUUCUUUCUUUCUUUCUUUCUUCCUUCCUUCCUUCCUUCCUUCCUUCCUUCCUUCCUUCCUUUCUUUCUUUUUUUAAUUACAUUUGAAAGAUGAUUUUAUUAAAGUCAUUGCACUUGGUCAUUUUAUUGCUACAGCA